AACGAACGCUGGCGGCAGGCUUAACACAUGCAAGUCGAACGCCCCGCAAGGGGAGUGGCAGACGGGUGAGUAACGCGUGGGAAUCUACCGUGCCCUGCGGAAUAGCUCCGGGAAACUGGAAUUAAUACCGCAUACGCCCUACGGGGGAAAGAUUUAUCGGGGUAUGAUGAGCCCGCGUUGGAUUAGCUAGUUGGUGGGGUAAAGGCCUACCAAGGCGACGAUCCAUAGCUGGUCUGAGAGGAUGAUCAGCCACAUUGGGACUGAGACACGGCCCAAGCGCCUAUGGGAGGCAGCAGGGGGGAAUAUUGGACAAUGGGCGCAAGCUUGACCCAGCCAUGCCGCGUGAGUGAUGAAGGCCUUAGGGUUGUAAAGCUCUUUCACCGAUGAAGAUAAUGACGGUAGUCGGAGAAGAAGCCCCGGCUAACUUCGUGCCAGCCGCCGCCGUAA
rnacentral:rRNA from 1 species